rnacentral:ncRNA from 1 species
CAUCAAUGAGGGUGAGUACACCUCUUAGGAGAUAUCUUAACCAUAUUGUAUUAGAUUCUUCCAUUUGUGAUAUUUACAAUUGUUUUGAGGAGGUGAUAUGUGAUACCUUGUUGGAUGAGUUUGAUGUUUGGGGGGUAGUUCCUUUCUAGGAGCCAGUGGUUGAUUUCAAGAUUGCAACGUGUUCAAAUUUGCAGAAGGAAAGUUUGUUUGAGUUGCAAAGGAAGCAAAAUGAUGUUGGUGAAAACACUUUCCUCAUAAAGAGGGUGUCUUUAGGGGUCACAGACCGACCAUAUACCCAACCUGAUUCAAGGAGUGGAACGCAUUAGCUGUCUGCUCUAGCUAGAUAGGAAAAAUGAUAUCUUUGACUCGGUUCCUAUUGAAGAAUGAGCUGUUGACUUAUAGGCAGUGGCUUGGUUAAGGGAACCCACCAGAGCCGUAGCAAGAGUGAGUCUUCAUGGGGAAAUUUUCAUUGCUUAUGGACCCAAACUUGCAUGAUCUAUCCAUGACCAGGAUGAAGCUUGGGUGAAACUAAGUGGAGGUCUGAAUCGACUGAUGUUGAAAAAUCAGCAGAUGAGUCAUGGUUAGGGGUGAAAUUCCACUCGAACCCAGAGCUAGCUGGUUCUCCCCAAAAUGCAUUGAGGCGCAAAACUUGACUGGACCAUCUAGGGGCAAAGAACUAUUUCAGUACAGGCCAUGAGAGGAGUGCCAAAUCGAGGAAAACUCUGAAUACUAGAUUGCCCCAAUAAAAGGAUCGAGCGCUCUUGUGCCGAAGAUGAAUGGGAAUAAGCGAUCUGAUGAAGCUAUGGGAUGUAAAAAUACAUCGAUAGGGGAGCAUUCUACCUUAGAAAGAAGCACCAGUGUGAGCAGGUGUGGAUGAAACAGAAGCAAGAAUGUCAGCUUGAGUAACGCAAACAUUGGUGAGAAUCCAAUGCCCCAAAAACCUAAGGGAUCCUCCGCAAGCUUCAUCCACGGAGGGUGAGUCAGGGCCUAAGAUUAGGCCAAAAAAAAUAGUCAAUGGACAAUAAGUUAAUAUUCCUAUACUACCCCUUGUUGGUCCCGAGGGACGGAGGAGGUUAGGUUAGACAAAAGAUGGUUAUCGGUUCAAGGAUGCAAGGUGACCCUCUAUACAUUGAUUCAAAGGUAAAAGAAGAAUCAAAUAUAGGUGUGUAUAAGGU